GCUGUAUAUGAUGAAAACUUGGCUCCCUCUACUGAAUAUUACGUGGAGAAAUGCCUACAAGUUACCCAAGUUUCUGACUCUACAGA